rnacentral:rRNA from 1 species
AACGAACGCUGGCGGCAUGCCUAACACAUGCAAGUCGAACGAGAUCUUCGGGUCUAGUGGCGCACGGGUGCGUAACGCGUGGGAAUCUGCCCUUUGGUUCGGAAUAACAGUUGGAAACGACUGCUAAUACCGGAUGAUGACGAAAGUCCAAAGAUUUAUCGCCAGAGGAUGAGCCCGCGUAGGAUUAGCUAGUUGGUGUGGUAGAGGCGCACCAAGGCGACGAUCCUUGGCUGGUCUGAGAGGAUGAUCAGCCACACUGGGACUGAGACACGGCCCAGACUCCUACGGGAGGCAGCAGUGGGGAAUAUUGGACAAUGGGCGAAAGCCUGAUCCAGCAAUGCCGCGUGAGUGAUGAAGGCCUUAGGGUUGUAAAGCUCUUUUACCCGGGAUGAUAAUGACAGUACCGGGAGAAUAAGCUCCGGCUAACUCCGUGCCAGCCGCCGCAGUAAGAC